rnacentral:tRNA from 1 species
GGGCGAUUAGCUCAGUUGGUUAGAGCAUCCCUCUGAUAAGGGGAAGGUCUCAGGUUCAACUCCUGAAUCGCCCA